rnacentral:rRNA from 1 species
UAGGGAAUCUUCGGCAAUGGACGAAAGCCUGACCGAGCAACGCCGCGUGAGUGAAGAAGGUUUUCGGAUCGUAAAACUCUGUUGUUAGAGAAGAACAAGUACGUUAGUAACUGAACGUCCCCUGACGGUAUCUAACCAGAAAGCCACGGCUAACUACGUGCCAGCAGCCGCGGUAAUACGUUGGUGGCAGGCGUUGUCCGGAUUUAUUGGGCGUAAAGCGAGCGCAGGCGGUUUCUUAAGUCUGAUGUGAAAGCCCCCGGCUCAACCGGGGAGGGUCAUUGGAAGCUGGGAGAAUUGAGUGCAGAAGAGGAGAGUGGAAUUCCAUGUGUAGCGGUGAAAUGCGUAGAUAUAUGGAGGAACACCAGUGGCGAAGGCGGCUCUCUGGUCUGUAACUGACGCUGAGGCUCGAGAGCGUGGGGAGCAAACAGG